GCAGAGGCUGGCCUUGAAUUUAUGAUCCUUCUUCUUUAGUUUCCUGAGUCACUGGGAUUACAGGUGUGCAUCGCCAUACCUGGGAGCUUAACUCACUUUCUUGUAGAUGAAAUAUCAGUCUUUUGUCACUAUUCUUCUUGGCUGAAGUAGUCCUUUAUCUCAUAGGCUUGUUUUUUUUCUCUAGUGGAACAAAAUUCUAUAGUAGGCUAAUUUCUUUGAAUGGAAAAGAAAACAGAUUCUUUCUUUUUGGGGUUAGACACCACCUCUUGUCAGACUCUAUAACUUCACAAGCAGUCACAGCAGAGCUCCUCUGGAUUUUAGCUCCUAAGAUCCCUUCACUCAGGUACUUUGUUUAAAGCCAUCCCACAUACCUUCUUAUGGCUGUUCUCAAGGCCUGAAGAGAUGACUCUCAAGUCUAGUGAGUAGGCACGUUGGAGACGUGGCCAAUCUAAAUCAGGAGUAUUGUGAAAAUAUUCAAACUUAUUUUUCGAUGGGUAUAUUUCACUGAUGUUUGGAUGUUGGUUACACCCAAUGUUCUGAAAAUUCACAUCAAAGAGAAAGAGGAAAGCAUGCUGUGAAUGAAGGCCCUACUGAGGCACAACUGGGAACUCAUCCAGGUUUUUCUCCCAGAAAUCAAACCUUCCUUGGAACUGAUCCUAAAAUAGAAAUGAUUGAAUCUCUGAGCACAUUCCUUCUGAGAACAAGAAGAACUGCAAGGCUAAAGCAACUCCGGUAGAACCAUGUAAUGUGAGGUGUAAUACCUAGUCCUACCUCCCUUUCCCUCCCUGACCCAAAAAAUUUCCCACAGAAUGAAGAUGGCAAUGUUGUCUCCCCACCCACUCUCUCCCCACUUUAUAUCCCAUCUGCUCUGAAUGUUUUGCUUUUUCCCAAGCAGAUAAAUAUCUUUCAUAUUUCAGGACAUUUUUCUCUGACACUGUUUUCCUGGCCUGGAUCUUCCUUAACUUCUUUUAGUUGAAAAACUACUAAGAUAAAGUUUCAGAAAAAAUAUUUCAGAAAAACUGGCUGUUAAAUAUAUUUGAUAAUCUGGAGAAAUAAACAGAAAUACAUAUUUGGAUUUACUAAAAUUUGGGUAGAAUCUCAAAAUUCUAAAUUUGAAAAGAUAUCUGGUACAUAGUAUGUUCUCAAAAAAUGUCAGUGAGUGAGUGAAGUCAAUAAUGUGCAUGUUUAAGGGUCUUGAUAGUUUUAUUUUAAAUAGAAGUUCUUUUUUUAUAGCUUUUAUCUGUGCCUAGGUACUUAUAUGUGUCUCCAUCCUCCCAAAAUUCUUGAGAUGUUGUGCCUUUCAUUACACACAAAGUGAAAUUAUUCAUUGAUUUGUGGAAUUACAGACUACACCUGUUACUGGGGGAAAGGUGUGCCUGGGAUGAACAUCAGGAACUCAUACAUUUGACAUGCAUUUCUCUAUGUUGUGCGUGUCUACACUUGAAACUUGCCUUCAGUCUCUGUUUCUUGGCUUAGCAUUCUAAUUCCAGGUUUUGAACUUUCCCUGAGCUCUGGCACACUUGUCUGGAGCCUGGGUAUAUUGGUUGCAUCAUUCUACUCAAUCAUUAGUGAGCGUUCUGCCUCUACACAUUAGCCAUUGGGAAUUGUGCUAUUCCUGCCCUCUCUGAUAUGGAGUGCUCCUAUCCUAUGCCAUGACCAAGGGUCAGAGUCCUAGGGUCAGAUGAACCUGGGAUGAAUUCCAGUUCCUCUGUGUCUAAGUUUGGUGAAGGUUUUCUUCUUUGUAAAUUGGAGCUAACAUUAAAUUCUUAUGUUGUGAAGUUUAAACAGUAGUAUAAAAUGCAUACAAUAUGUUACAUAUAGAUGUGAAUAAUUUCUUUUUAACUUGUAAGGCUGAGAACAUUGGCUCAAGUCCACCUGAACACUGGCUAUUGGGAAGAAUACUGGUCUACUUGAAUUCUGGUUAUUGAGUGUUAGAGGUCAGACUCACUGUUGACUAUGCAGCUUUCUUUGCCAUCUAUUUUCCCUUAGUUUUUAUGUUCUUUUCUAGCAACAUUCUAACAAUGAAAGGUUGGGAAGAGCACAGAAGAAUAUGUCUUAUAAUUUUGCCUUGACCUGGGUAAGUAAAAAUAGAUUUAUUAUUUUAGAACAUGGUAAUUAAGUAGGCAGAGUACAAAAUGUUAAUAAUAUCAGCAAAGCAAUUCAUUAGCCAGAGUAGGUGUUAUUGGUUAAUAGACUAACUUUAAACAAAUGUUUAUCAUAGGAAAGCCAAAAUCUUGCAUAAUUCAUCUAAAGAUGAGGGAGAAUUGACUUUAUUCUUUAAGGGUUUCUGGGUAUUACUCAAAUGGAAUUGAAUAAAUAUUCUUGGAAAUGAAAUAGGAUAUUUCACUAGAUAAUGUGACCUUUAUGAAGAUGCUCACAUUCUUGGAAAUUGUAUUUGUGUUCAACAUAUUUUAUUGUCUCCUUCCAGCAAUGUGACAAAAUGACCAUAGAUUAUUUGGAGCAAGAUUGGUAUGGUUUAUUUAUUUAAUAUCACUGAAUCUCAAUUUUCUCUUAGAUGAAGUGGACUUGAUUUUCUCUAUUUUUCAAGAUGGUGGUACAAAUUAAUUACAAGAAUGCAUGCCAGGUGCUCUGUGUUAUGCCAAGACCUGUUUAAAGUUGGUCUGGUUCUGCUGUUGGGUUCAGCUGACAAAAAAAAAGUUCAGGCUGAUAAAAGAGAAUGACACAGACAGCCAGAAGCAAAGAAAGCAGAGAAACUAAUAUUAUAUUUCUGGGCUUUUGUUUUUCUUAUUUCAACCAUAAUUAAGCUGCAGGACCAAGUUCUUGCAGAGGAAACUUUCGGGGUUGGAGCCACCUGACUUUCUAGGUCAUGGCUAGAGUGCUGAGAAUGGAUUUCAAGUUCAUCAGAGCAGUUGUGGCAGCACACAUCCCUGGUCUUGAUCCCUGAGUGACGAUUAAGAGAGUACAGUGCCUGCAUCCUAACAAGUUGCCUGCAUACGUCUAUGACAGUUAUAAACUCACUUGAAGGCUAUAGAAAAAAAUGGAAAGUAUGGCUCAUGUUUUGAAGAAUUUGCUCAUGGAAAACUGGAGAAAGUAUGUCAUCCAGACACAAAGAUACCAGUGCAGAAGCAAUUGCCUUCAAAUUUUGGAGUCAUGCUUAUAUAUAUUUGGAAGACAAAUAUAAGAAAACACUGAACAUUUUAUUGAAAAUUCAGGUGAAUCAUUAUCGCAAUAACUCAAAUAAUUUAAAGGUAAGAAACAUUAUGCUGACUUUAUCUGCCUGGAAAUCUUUUGAUGUCAAGGUUCCAUUUUCAUUCAUUAAUUGAAGGAGGUCAAAGACUGGCCAAUCAUUGCUUUACACCAACUAUCAGACUGCUGUCCAGCACAUGGUUGACAAUCAGCAUAUAUUUGCUGAAUGAAUGAAUGAAUAAAAUGGAUAUGAGGUGUGGACUGCAUUUGCGCCAUCAAGAUGAAACUGAUUUGACCUUGGGAAGGCAAUGACAGGGACUUCACUUAUGCCCAAUUGUGCCCCAGUCUAAGAUAAAAUAUAUUUUAUAGUCAAUAUCCCAGAAAGCUAUUUAAUGUUAUCAUUUUUACACACACUUUGAAAUUCGGAUUUCAGUGUGGAGCUUCCCUCAAGAUGAUUACUUUGUAAAAGAAUCAUCCUCUUUUUGGGGUUAGAAUAAUGAACUCUGAAGCUCAGAAGACUUUGAAGACCUUUUGCUCCUCCCCUUGAAAGUGAAGAUUUAAUCACUAGGAAUUGAUAUCCUCUGAUGGAAAUCACUUAGUGCAUUUACAUGGAGGCCAUGUGAUUUGGUGGCCAUGCAGUCAGUUGAGAGACAGAUAGUUCCUGCCAGAAUUCUACUCAUCCAAGGAUAACAGUUCCUACUUCAUAGGUCUGUCUGCAGAAUAUUUUACACAAUAAUGAAUGCAAAAUAUUUACAACUGUGCUUGUUCCUAUUUAAAUCAAGAGCUCCAAAUGAUGUUUAAGAUGCAUUACUACAAAGUAAAGCAUAACUAGUCUGAAAGAUUGAAGUCAUCUUCCUGUGUAAAUAUUUUCCUGACACCCAAGCAGAAUGGAUUGUUUUCUUCUCUGAAACAUAUAGAGAUUUUUUUUCCAUACACAACAUUCCCCACCUCUCAAAUAGUAACCUUUGUUCCUAAGUCCUGAUCCAUUUUGAGUUGAGUUUUGUGCAUGGUGAAAGAUAGGGGUUUAAUUUCAUUUUGUUGUAUAUGGAUUUCAAUAGAGAGCCUACAGAA